rnacentral:rRNA from 1 species
UACGUAGGGGGCUAGCGUUGUCCGGAAUCAUUGGGCGUAAAGAGCUCGUAGGCGGUUGGGCAAGUCAAGUGUGAAAUCUCCACGCUCAACGUGGAGGCGCCACGUGAGACUGCCCUGACUCGAGUCCGGUAGGGGAGCGUGGAAUUCCCGGUGUAGCGGUGAAAUGCGCAGAGAUCGGGAGGAACACCCGUAGCGAAGGCGGCGCUCUGGGCCGGUACUGACGCUGAGGAGCGAAAGCGUGGGGAGCAAACAGG